CACUAAGUGACUUAAAAGCUUUUUUGUAGCUAUCUGCACAAGACUUCAUCCCACGGUCGCUACACUUCGGGCAGCAAUUUCUCAGGUUAGCAACAUGGCAGACAUGAAGUUAGCUUUCUUGUUCCUGUUAAUUAUGGUGACGGCAACAACUGUCAAGCCUUACUGCCCCUCGUGGAGGCCUUCCUCAUACAGCUGGCACAAUACCUGGAAACAGUCAUUCCAUGCUUGGUGCAAUGGAGGCUUUUGAUUGAGU